CUAAGUUGGGACAAGUCCCCAAAGUAACAAAACUGCCACAUAACCACACCACCGUGAACUCACUAACCCUUGGUACUGCCACUGAGUCUGACUCCCUUUGACUUUCUUCCCAAGGGGAAUAUCAGGGUCCUAGAAGGGAGGCAGAUUUGCUUUAAUGCAAGAAAGCUGUAACCACAGACCAACAUGGGUGUUCCAGAGAAAAGGGAAAUUGAGAAUCCGCCAAGAAGAAAGAAAGAAAGAAGAAAAAAAAAACCUCAAAACCAAUUAUCUAGGCAUUUAUGAGUUCCACCCUGGUCCCUCUCUCUCUCCUCUCUCACUCAGAUGCAAAGAAGCAUUUAAUAUUUAAUAUAUUAAGAAAAGAAAGAAACUUUGAUAAAUUAUGUGGAAUCUGGCAUUAAUUCCGUCUGCCCCUCCUUACUUCCUCAUUCUCCCCUCCUGAAAACCCACGCUUGGUUCUAGCUGACAUUUAAAUGGAUUAAGGUGUUCAGGUUUCCUUAAUAGUGUUGACAUUUUGGAAAUAUUUCUGGCUUUUUUUCCCCCUCUCCUCGAAAUAAUAAUAAUAAAUAAAUAUUGGAAUGGAUCUUCGCCUCUGCUCGACAGGCAGGCUCUGGCUCUGUCCUGCUCUCCAGCACAGACACAAUUUAUAUCUUCCAUUCCUGUUUACAAGAUUAAGGACAGAGAGAAGUCAAAGUCUUCCUUGGAAGACAAGGGGCCAAGUGUGGGAGUGGGGGGAUGGUGACAGGCCAGGGAGGAAUUUUGCCGAUCACUAAGUUACUUCCUGGGGCCUCCAACCCCUUCCCUUCUUCCUGGAACUUGGGGAGACUGUCUGCCUCUCUCCUGGCCCCUCUCUUUCCACCCCUGGCUCAAUGGUCCUUCCUUUGUGUGGUCUUACUGUUCUUCCUCUAGGUAAUGUGUGGCUUGCUUCAUCUGUAGACCCGUCCUCGCAUGCCAGACAGAUGCACCUGAGAAUGCUCUCCCAUUUGAAAACAUAGCCCUGUGGUCUGUUUGGAACACAGAGAGAAGGGAUGGGAUUCACUUCUGUCUUUCUACUCUUCUUUGGAAUUAUUUGAGCAGCCUCUCUUGCACUGUGCUGCCAUUGUUCCCAUGUCUAGACACCACCGUCCCUGAGUGUGGAUCUUUGUCUGCCUUAUCUCUGUAUCCCACCUCCUAGCACAAAGCACAUACAUAGUAGGUAUUUGGAAAUGUUUAUUUAGUAGAAAGCAGACAGAAAGGAAAGGGAGGAAAAGUGGAAGGGAAGGAAGAGGAAAAGUAAAGAAGAAGACUACCAGCAUUUGGAAAUCUUCCUUGGUUGACAUCCUCAAAGCCCUGAUGUUCUGUGUGGUCUCCAGAUUAACUCAAUCAGCAGACAUAUGGACCUGCGUGACACCCAUCUCUGUGAUCAUUUUUGCCCACAGGUUUCCCACGGUCUAAUGGCGGUUGUUUUUUGCCCUCAUAGAAGGUAGAAAUAUUUGUAAAGAACCCAGUGUUCCUCAGAGAUGUCUUUAUGACUAGCAACUAGAAGGAGAUUAAAUCAGAUGGCCCUAGAGAUUAACCUCUGUAUUAAUAGUACAGGCUACUUUAUCUCCC